AAAUGAAUUGACGGGGACCCGCACAAGCAGUGGAGUAUGUGGUUUAAUUCGAAGCAACGCGAAGAACCUUACCAAGGCUUGACAUCACAGGGAGAGGGGUGGAAACACUUCUGUCUUCGGACUCUGUGACAGGUGGUGCAUGGUUGUCGUCAGCUCGUGUCGUGAGAUGUUGGGUUAAGUCCCGCAACGAGCGCAACCCUUGUUUUUAGUUGCCAGCGAGGAAAGUCGGGCACUCUAGAGAGACUGCCGGUGACAAAUCGGAGGAAGGUGGGGACGACGUCAAAUCAUCAUGCCCCUUAUGUCUUGGGCUACACACGUACUACAAUGGCUAUUACAGCAGGCAGCGAAGGAGCAAUCCGGAGCGAAUCCCAAAAGAUAGUCCCAGUUCGGAUUGCGGGCUGCAACCCGCCCGCAUGAAGUCGGAAUUGCUAGUAAUUGCAGGUCAGCAUACUGCAGUGAAUACGUUCCCGGGUCUUGUACACACCGCCCGU
rnacentral:rRNA from 1 species